rnacentral:sRNA from 1 species
UUUCUAACUGUACCGCGACGAUCCCGGG